rnacentral:misc_RNA from 1 species
GAUGAAGAACGUAGCAAAAUGCGAUAAGUAAUGUGAAUUGCAGAAUUCAGUGAAUCAUCGAAUCUUUGAACGCACAUUGCGCCCGCCAGUAUUCUGGCGGGCAUGCCUGUUCGAGCGUCAUUUCAACCCUCAAGCACAGCUUGGUGUUGGGACUCGCGUUAAUUCGCGUUCCCCAAAUUGAUUGGCGGUCACGUCGAGCUUCCAUAGCGUAGUAGUAAAACCCUCGUUACUGGUAAUCGUCGCGGCCACGCCGUUAAACCCCAACUUCUGAAUGUUGACCUCGGAUCAGGUAGGAAUACCCGCUGAACUUAAGCAUAUCUAAGCGGAGGA